rnacentral:rRNA from 1 species
GGCAGCCUACGGGGCGCAGCAGUGAGGAAUAUUGGUCAAUGGGAGAGAUCCUGAACCAGCCACGCCGCGUGAGGGAAGACGGCCCUAUGGGUUGUAAACCUCUUUUGUCGGAGAACAAAACCCGGGACGUGUCCCGGACUGCGUGUAUCCGAAGAAAAAGCAUCGGCUAACUCCGUGCCAGCAGCCGCGGUAAUACGGAGGAUGCGAGCGUUAUCCGGAUUUAUUGGGUUU